rnacentral:rRNA from 1 species
GACAGAGGUGCCGAGCGUUAGGCGGAAUCACUGGGCUUAAAGCGUGUGUAGGCGGAUGGGUAAGUACCUUGUGAAAUCCCACGCUCAACCGUGGAACUGCUCGGUAUACUGCUCGUCUUGAGCCAACUAGGGGCGACCGGAACAAACGGUGGAGCGGUGAAAUGCGUAGAUAUCGUUUGGAACGCCGAUGGUGAAAACAGGUCGCUGGGGUUGUGCUGACGCUGAGACACGAAAGCCAGGGGAGCGAACGGG